rnacentral:lncRNA from 1 species
ACUCCCAACCUCCAGGCCCCAUGGCCACUUCCUCCCUCCUGCGAGGACAGCUGGCAACUGGGGUGCAGUACCCUCCCUGCCCCCCGCCCCCUUCUUUGGGCCACACGCUGUGAGAAGGGGUCUAGAUCCUCGAGGGGGGGAUGGCUGCCCUGUGCCGGCUCUGCAGGCACAUGAUAGCCGACUGCCACUGCUGGGGCGAGGAGGGGGGGCCUCUUUCCACCCGACAGAUACCGACACCCAAUAUAGAAACCGAGAAGAGCCAGGCAGGAAAACACAAGCUCUCACCCGUCUGGAGGCUCCGCGGCUUGGCGCCCAGAUAUGCCAGGUUCACGUUGGCCUUGCGGCCGUCGAUGAUGGGGUUCGGGUCUUUGCAAGCCCUCUCAGCUGCCGCCCGGUCGGCCAUGGUCACCUGGUGGAGCAGAGACACAUCAGGGGCUGCCGUGGGGGGAACCAGGGGCGAAAGGGGCAGACGGCUCCGCCCUGGCACCGGAUGCUGCCACCCCUCUCUUCCCUUCCUCUGAGGGUGCCUGUGACCCAGGGUCCUUGAGCCAAAGCUCCUCUGAACCCUACCUGGGGCUCUCCCACAAAGAUGCCUCCUGGAUUCCAGCUCCUCCCGUCAAAGUUCAAGGCCUGGGAAAUGUGGCCUUCAAGGACAAAAAUAAUCCCCUGCGGGGAUAGGGCAAAAAUGAACCCCGAAGGGAGCUUGGGGGGCCGCCUGGACUUGCCCACCAGUGAGGGCCGAGACUUUCCUCUGAGAAGGAGUUUGCGACGCUAUGCUUGGAAGGCAACCGUCAGGUGCUAAGCAGAACCAUGCUUGGGCCUUCCACACCAGUCAAGGUACUCUCACAGCAAAGCCCCACCGAAGGGGCCCACAGGUUGGAUUCGAGGUACGUGAAGUCCCAAGAGAUGACAUGAAGCCCCAAAUGGAUGCCCUGGCUCCCCAGCACCAGAGGGAAACGCCCCCUCACCGAAGACAGUGGCAAGUGCCAUGCUUCAAGUAACACAGGGAGCGGCCUCCAGUGCACCUGUUUUAGCAGCCAGUCCUGGAGGCAGAAAGAUUUACAAGGGAGUGGAAAGGCUGGCAAACACAGGACACAUGGAGAUGCCCAAAGUCAGUGGGGGUCAGGGUUCAACCUGGAAAUGCAGUCUUCUCAGCUGAGGAAGGCAGUGAGUCCUGGCCAGGAAGCCGGUCCAAGCCCCUGCCUCGUCCCCAGUUCACCUCGUGAAAGCUGAUGAAUGACCAAUGCUUGCAGAGGGGUCUGGAGUAAUGGCGGCACCGUAUUAAGGGGCGAUCAGGCUGUAUCUUGACACUGGGAUUCAUAAGAGGAGGAAGAAACCUAUCAUGCUGACGGGUAGUGAAGAAGAGAAAUGAAAGACAAAAGACACAAGAGAAGGCCAGGUGCAGUGGUUCACUCCUGUAAUCCCAGCUACCUGGGAGGCUGAGACAGGAGAAUCGCCUGAACCCGGGAGGCAGAGGGCGCACUGAGCUGAGAUCACGCCACUGCAGUGCAGCCUGGACGACAGGGCGAGACUCAGUCUCAAAAAAAAAAAAAAAAAAAAAGACACCAGAGAGUGCUGCCGCCAGUGAGCUGACGGAAUCCGCAGUGUGGAUUCGGGCCCGUAGGAUGCUGGGGAUUGUCAGUGCCUUCUUUGAGCUUUGUCUCCUCCCAUACUGCCUCCUCUGCACCACAGUCAGGAGGGAAAAAGAAUAAAAGAUUAAGAAUGCAGGUCAGUUCUUUUUCGGGAGCCGAUUUACAUUUUAAGCAAGUAUGCAACAGGUGUUUCUCAUUGGCUUUCGAAACAGCCCUCACCUGAAAAAAUAUUUUUCAAUAGAUUGAUGCAAAAUUCACAAUAGGCUCUUAGACUGUGGUGAUGGUUUCAUGGGUGUAUGUUUAUCUCCAAACUCAUCAAGUUGUAUAAGUUAAAUAUGUACAGCCUUUUAUAUGUCACACUUCAAUAAAGUGUAAAAACUCACACAGUC